AUGAAGUCAAGGAGGGACUGGGAGGUGUGACAACUGAUGGGGAUCAACAGCAACGAGGAGUGGAGAACGUGAAGGAUGAGAAGUCGGCUGUUGUGGAGGACAAAGCAGCAGCAUUGGGGUUGAGGCGAUCAAAUGGCUACGAAAGGAGAUGAUUGUUAUUUCUAUUAUAAUACUGCAUGUCUGAAGUCAAGCUGCACUCGGUAACAACACUGUCUGUACGUUGUGGCUACAAGGAUCGUGCUUUCGAUCAGCAUGUCCGUUCAGACAUAUGCAUAUCACUGUGAAUGGUGACACUUUCGUCUAUUUCUCACAUUCUUGUGAGAAUGUCGAAUGUUUAGCCGUUGAAGAGUGAGUUGUCGUGUUGCUUUGAGAUUCAACCGAGUGGCUGCCUCGAGCCCAACUGUCCUUUCAAGCAUUUCAAGCCGAGAAAUGUGAGCACACUGGGAACAAGCUCGAUGCCGGUGAUGUCAACGACAUAGCCAGUUGGUAUGACGUG